ACGUUAUGACGUAUUACGUUAUAUGGUUUAACGUUAUAACGUAUUGCGUUAUAUGGUAUAACAUUAUAACGUAUUACGUUUUAUGG
rnacentral:pre_miRNA from 13 species